rnacentral:rRNA from 1 species
AUUGAACGCUGGCGGCAGGCCUAACACAUGCAAGUCGAGCGGAGCGGCGGACGGGGGAGUAAUGCCUAGGAAUCUGCCUGGUAGUGGGGGAUAACGUCCGGAAACGGGCGCUAAUACCGCAUACUAUCAGAUGAGCCUAGGCCGGAUUAGCUAGUUGGUGGGGUAAAGGCCUACCAAGGCGACGAUCCGUCACUGGACGGUGCGGGUGAUCAGUCACACUGGAACUGAACCACGGUCCAAACUCCUACGGGAGGCAGCAGUGGGGAAUAUUGGACAAUGGGCGAAAGCCUGACCCAGCCAUGCCGCGUAUGUGAAGAAGGUCUUCGGAUUGUAAAGCACGUUAAGUUGGGAGGCGUUACCAACAGAAUAAGCACCGGCUAACUUCGUGCCAGCAGCCGCGGUAAUUC